UCCCUGGAGGUCCAGUGGCUAAGACUCCAUGCUCUCAAUGCAGGAGGCCCAGGUUCAAUCCCUGGUCAGGGAA
rnacentral:tRNA from 1 species